CUCAGGAUGAACGCUAGCGCAGGCUUAACACAUGCAAGUCGAGGGGUAUAUGUCUUCGGAUAUAGAGACCGGCGCACGGGUGCGUAACGCGUAUGCAAUCUACCUUUCACAGAGGGAUAGCCCAGAGAAAUUUGGAUUAAUACCUCAUAGUAUAGCAGUUUCGCAUGAAACCACUAUUAAAGUCACAACGGUGAAAGAUGAGCAUGCGUCCCAUUAGCUAGUUGGUAAGGUAACGGCUUACCAAGGCAACGAUGGGUAGGGGUCCUGAGAGGGAGAUCCCCCACACUGGUACUGAGACACGGACCAGACUCCUACGGGAGGCAGCAGUGAGGAAUAUUGGACAAUGGGCGCAAGCCUGAUCCAGCCAUGCCGCGUGCAGGAAGAAGGUCCUAUGGAUUGUAAACUGCUUUUAUACAAGAAGAAACACUCCCUCGUGAGGGAACUUGACGGUACUGUAUGAAUAAGGACCGGCUAACUCCGUG
rnacentral:rRNA from 1 species